rnacentral:rRNA from 1 species
CCCGAAACGAAGUGAUCUAUCCAUGAGCAAGUUGAAGCUAGUGUAAGAACUAGUGGAGGACUGAACCCAUAGGCGUUGAAAAGCCCCGGGAUGACUUGUGGAUAGGGGUGAAAGGCCAAUCAAACUUCGUGAUAGCUGGUUCUCUCCGAAAUAUAUUUAGGUAUAGCGUUGUGUCGUAAUAUAAGGGGGUAGAGCACUGAAUGGGCUAGGGCAUACACCAAUGUACCAAACCCUAUCAAACUCCGAAUACCUUAUAUGUAAUCACAGCAGUCAGGCGGCGAGUGAUAAAAUCCGUCGUCAAGAGGGAAACAACCCAGACUACCAGCUAAGGUCCCUAAAUCUUACUUAAGUGGAAAACGAUGUGAAGUUACUUAAACAACCAGGAGGUUGGCUUAGAAGCAGCCAUCCUUUAAAGAAAGCGUAAUAGCUCACUGGUCUAGUGAUUUUGCGCGGAAAAUAUAACGGGGCUAAAGU